GCAGUCGUGACCGAGUGGUUAAGGCAAUAGACUAGAAUUCCAUCGGGGUCUCCCCGCACAGGUUCAAAUCCUGUCGACUGCG
rnacentral:tRNA from 2 species